AUGGACUGGACCUGGAGGAUCCUCCUCUUGGUGGCAGCAGCUACAGGGACCCACUCCAAGGUGCAGCUGGUGCAGUCUGGCACUGAGGUAAAGAAGCCUGGGGCCUCAGUGAAGGUCUCCUGCCAGGAUUCCGGAUACACCCUCACCGACUACUCCAAGCACUGGGUGCGACAGACCCCUGGAAAAGGGCUUCAGUGGAUGGGAGGUUUUGAUCCUGUAGAUGGUGAAACAGUCAACUCACAGAAGUUCCAGCGCAGAGUCACCAUGACCGAGGACACGUCUACAGACACAGCCUACAUGGAGCUCAGCAGCCUGAGAUCUGAGGACACAGCUGUGUAUUACUGUCCAGCAGGCACAGCAUGA